UACGUAGGGACCAAGCGUUGUUCGGAUUUACUGGGCGUAAAGGGCGCGUAGGCGGUCAGCACAAGUCAGUUGUGAAAUCUCCGGGCUUAACUCGGAAAGGUCAACUGAUACUGUGCGACUAGAGUGCGGAAGGGGCAACUGGAAUUCUCGGUGUAGCGGUGAAAUGCGUAGAUAUCGAGAGGAACACCUGCGGCGAAGGCGGGUUGCUGGGCUGACACUGACGCUGAAGCGCGAAAGCUAGGGGAGCGAACGGG
rnacentral:rRNA from 1 species